AGAGAGUGCAAGCGUUAAUCGGAAUUACUGGGCGUAAAGCGCACGUAGGUGGAUAGUUAAGUCGGAUGUGAAAGCCCUGGGGCUCAACCUGGGAACUGCACUCGAUACUGGCUGUCUAGAGUAUAGUAGAGGGAAGUGGAAUUUCCGGUGUAGCGGUGAAAUGCGUAGAUAUCGGAAAGAACACCAGUGGCGAAGGCGGCUUCCUGGACUAAUACUGACACUGAGGUGCGAAAGCGUGGGGAGCAAACAGGAUUAGAGACCCUGGUAGUCCACGCCGUAAACGAUGAGAACUAGCUGUUGGGAUGUAUAUCAUCUUAGUAGCGAAGCUAACGCGUUAAGUUCUCCGCCUGGGGAGUACGGCCGCAAGGUUA
rnacentral:rRNA from 1 species